UAAAGAAUUUCGGUAUGGGAUGGGGAUGCGUUCCAUUAGUUAGUUGGCGGGGUAACGGCCCACCAAGACAACGAUGGAUAGGGGUUCUGAGAGGAAGGUCCCCCACAUUGGAACUGAGACACGGUCCAAACUCCUACGGGAGGCAGCAGUGAGGAAUAUUGGUCAAUGGACGAGAGUCUGAACCAGCCAAGUAGCGUGAAGGAUGACUGCCCUAUGGGUUGUAAACUUCUUUUAUAUGGGAAUAAAAUGUUCCACGUGUGGGAUUUUGUAUGUACCAUAUGAAUAAGGAUCGGCUAACUCCGUGCCAGCAGCCGCGGUAAUACGGAGGAUCCGAGCGUUAUCCGGAUUUAUUGGGUUUAAAGGGAGCGUAGGUGGAUUGUUAAGUCAGUUGUGAAAGUUUGCGGCUCAACCGUAAAAUUGCAGUUGAAACUGGCAGUCUUGAGUACAGUAGAGGUGGGCGGAAUUCGUGGUGUAGCGGUGAAAUGCUUAGAUAUCACGAAGAACUCCGAUUGCGAAGGCAGCUCACUGGACUGCAACUGACACUGAGGCUCGAAAGUGUGGGUAUCAAACAGGAUUAGAUACCCUGGUAGUCCACACAGUAAACGAUGAAUACUCGCUGUUUGCGAUAUACAGUAG
rnacentral:rRNA from 1 species